CCACAAACGACAAGAUAAGAAGCUACAGUUUUGAUCCUAAAAUGGGAAUAAAUGAAUAACAUAAAUAGGAAAUAAUCUCUUUUUUCUUUUUAACUCCAGCAGACCACAAAAAGCUGCGACCAGAAGUCCUGCAGCAAAGAGAGGAAAGACAUCCUGACGUUCGACCAGAUCAAGAAGCAGAGGGAGCGGCAGAGGCCGUUUGAGAGGGAGCUCCGGGAGUUGGAACGCCGCCGAUUCACCUUACAGAAACAAGACUGGUCCGGAUGUUUACCGUCACUGCAAAGCUGGUUCUGGUUCUGCUCCACUCAAAACCAAGACCAGUUUGGUCCUGGAUGGAACUUUAUCAUCACUAACAGUUAAAACUAAAGACCUUGAGCCAUGUUCAAGUGGGAGCCAUCCACCGAAAUUCUCAAAGCUCAAAAAGUAACAAGAGUCACAGAGUUUGUUACUUAUUUUUGUCAGAUGUCUUGUCUUAAUAUGAGUAUGUAGUUUAGCUUGUUUUUUCUUGUGUUAUUAAGGUGGAUGAUUUAUGUUGCUCUCAUAGAAUACACAAGAGAACUGGACAGAGUAACCCUGCCUUCCUCACAUUAUAGGAAGUACCUGCAGGCUCCAGAAAGCUAAAAUCCUGUAGACUUCUAUAGAGAAAUAAACAGCUGUUACUCGUU